AUUGAACGCUGGCGGCAGGCCUAACACAUGCAAGUCGAGCGGCAGCGGGAAAGUAGCUUGCUACUUUUGCCGGCGAGCGGCGGACGGGUGAGUAAUGCCUGGGGAUCUGCCCAGUCGAGGGGGAUGACUACUGGAAACGGUAGCUAAUACCGCAUACGCCCUACGGGGGAAAGCAGGGGACCUUCGGGCCUUGCGCGAUUGGAUGAACCCAGGUGGGAUUAGCUAGUUGGUGAGGUAAUGGCUCACCAAGGCGACGAUCCCUAGCUGGUCUGAGAGGAGGAUCAGCCACACUGGAACUGAGACACGGUCCAGACUCCUACGGGAGGCAGCAGUGGGGAAUAUUGCACAAUGGGGGAAACCCUGAUGCAGCCAUGCCGCGUGUGUGAAGAAGGCCUUCGGGUUGUAAAGCACUUUCAGCGAGGAGGAAAGGUUGGUAGCUAAUAACUGCCAGCUGUGACGUUACUCGCAGAAGAAGCACCGGCUAACUCCGUGCCAGCCGCCGCCGUAAGAC
rnacentral:rRNA from 1 species